GAUGAAUAACGUAGUGAAAUGCGAUAAGUAAUGUGAAUUGCAGAAUUCAGUGAAUCAUCGAAUCUUUGAACGCACAUUGCGCCCGCCAGUAUUCUGGCGGGCAUGCCUGUUCGAGCGUCAUUUCAACCAUCAAGCCCCCGGCUUGUGUUGGGGACCUGCGGCUGCCGCAGGCCCUGAAAAGCAGUGGCGGGCUCGCUGUCACACCGAGCGUAGUAGAUUUCAUCUCGCUCAGGGCGUGCUGCGGGUUCCGGCCGUUAAACCACCUUCAUAACCCAAGGUUGACCUCGGAUCAGGUAGGAAGACCCGCUGAACUUAAGCAUAUCAAUAAGCGGAGGA
rnacentral:misc_RNA from 1 species